rnacentral:rRNA from 1 species
GCUUCGAGAAUAACCCCCUAACCAGCGCCGCGUAUACGUAGGGUGCAAGCUAUCGAAUUACUGCGUAAAGCGUGUGUAGGCGGUUCUGAAAGAAAGAUGUGAAAUCCCAGGGCUCAACCUUGGAACUGCAUUUUUAACUGCCGAGUAGAGUAUGUCAGAGGGGGGUAGAAUUCCACGUGUAGCAGUGAAAUUCGUAGAUAUGUGGAGGAAUACCGAUGGCGAAGGCAGCCCCCUGGGAUAAUACUGACGCUCAGACACGAAAGCGUGGGGAGCAAACAGGAUUAGAUACCCUGGUAGUCCACGCCCUAAACGAUGUCAACUAGCUGUUGGGGCCGUUAGGCCUUAGUAGCGCAGCUAACGCGUGAAGUUGACCGCCUGGGGAGUACGGUCGCAAGAUUAAAACUCAAAGGAAUUGACGGGGACCCGCACAAGCGGUGGAUGAUGUGGAUUAAUUCGAUGCAACGCGAAAAACCUUACCUACCCUUGACAUGUCUGGAAAGCCGAAGAGAUUUGGCCGUGCUCGCAAGAGAACCGGAACACAGGUGCUGCAUGGCUGUCGUCAGCUCGUGUCGUGAGAUGUUGGGUUAAGUCCCGCAACGAGCGCAACCCUUGUCAUUAGUUGCUACGCAAGAGCACUCUAAUGAGACUGCCGGUGACAAACCGGAGGAAGGUGGGGAUGACGUCAAGUCCUCAUGGCCCUUAUGGGUAGGGCUUCACACGUCAUACAAUGGUCGGGACAGAGGGUCGCCAACCCGCGAGGGGGAGCCAAUCUCAGAAACCCGAUCGUACCGGAUGCAGUCGCUA